GAUGAAGAACGCAGCGAAAUGCGAUACUUGGUGUGAAUUGCAGAAUCCCGUGAACCAUCGAGUCUUUGAACGCAAGUUGCGCCCGAAGCCAUUAGGCCGAGGGCACGCCUGCCUGGGCGUCACACGUCGUUGCCCCCCCAUCUACUCCUUUGGGAUUGCGGGGGGCGGAUGAUGGCCUCUCGUGCGCCUCGUCGCGCGGUUGGCCUAAAUGCCAAGUCCUCGGCGACGCACGCCACGACAAUCGGUGGUUGCGAAACCUCGGUUGCCUGUCGUGUGCGGUCGUCGCGCAUCGAGGGCUCGAAAAAAUUGCCGGGCUUCGGCUCGACUUUCAACGCGACCCCAGGUCAGGCGGGGUUACCCGCUGAAUUUAAGCAUAUCAAUAAGCGGAGGA
rnacentral:misc_RNA from 1 species